rnacentral:lncRNA from 1 species
AAAGCCACCUCGUUGAGCAAGAGGGGACCGAUGAGAUUUCCAUGAACAAACUUCCUGCAGGGAGCAAAGGGCGGCCGGGAUCACCACCACCUCCUGGGGACGUACGGACAGAGAAGGGACCGCUAACGGUGGCCACGGGGAGGAGGAGGAGAGCAAGCCCAGGCAGAAGGAGGUACCUGGGUGGGGGGAGAGGCGUGGGACAUCCUUUUAAGAGGCUGUCAGUGCUUUUUGUGUCAUCGCUCGCGUGGACGCGUCCCAAGGUGCGAGCUGGCCUGGUCCUUCAGCUUCCCCGCUCUGCCCACAGGCGAUGGCGGCCACCACGGUGACCGACUCUGGGGGCGUGAGGAUCAUCACGGAGGUCAUCCCACCCACAGACCCCCGAGCAGCCCAGCUGGCUUCUGGUUCCAGGCCACCCGCCUCCACCGUGUUGUCGUUUCAAGUCCAAGGCUUCAGAAAAGCUCAGCCCAAGGCGCUGGGGACCAUCCAUAUCUUCACCGGGAUCAUCCACAUCUGCUUCGGGAUCAUCCUGACACUGUCGGAGAGUGGGACCCAUUCCAUCCCUGUGGCCAGCGGGGUCCUCUUCUGGCUCGGGCUCCUGCUCCUGCUCUCGGGCUCUCUGCUGGUGGAAAGUGAGAAAAGAGACAACAUCUUGCUGGUGAAGACCUGCUGCGUCGUCAACAUGGGGGUCAUCCUCAGCACGCUGGUGGCCACCCUCCUCCACACCACGGCCAUCACUCGCGACAUCCCCGGCUGCGAGCACAACAUGCCGUACCAGCUGAGACCCGAAUGGUGCUCGGACAUUGAGAACAAGGUAGAGCCUCCCGGUCCUGCUCCGGCGGUGGGUCCGAGCCUCCCUGGGCGGCUGCCACCCGGGGGGAGAGGGACGAAGGACCCGCUGGGCGACUCCCUCCCAACUCUCCUCCUCGCAGAUGCUGAGCAACGGGCUGGACUCCAUGUUCGUCAUCUUCUGCCUCCUGGAGUUCUGCGCGGCGGUGGCGGCCCUGGCCUUCGGCUACAACGCCGUCAAGCAGCACAACUACACGCGGAUGGUGAGGGGGACGGGGCCCUGGGGACACCAGCUCCGGUGUUUCAGCGGCAGCCGGGCCAGCAUCAUCCUCCCCCUUCCUUCCUCUGA